GCACCUCUCACUCCCUUUCUCUAACUAGUCUUGUGUGCACCCAUUUAUGUGUACGUACUAUUAUCUCAUAAAUAAAUAUUUUUAAAAUUAGAUGCAUUUAUUGAUAUGAAAAAGUUACAAGAUUAGUUUGUUGUGUGUGAGACUUUGGAUCGACAGAUCGAAAAAUUAACUAACCGGUCAGUAUUGAAUAUCAACUAUUAUAUGCUCCAUGCAUUCGCUUAUAGUUUCACACAAUUUGUUUUCUUCACGGUCUAAAAUCAGAAGAUUCCAUAUAUUUUCUUAUGACGUAAAAGGACCACUUAUAAGUUGACACGUCAGCCCUUGGAUUCGUGAGAUACUCGAUCUCUUGUGCGUGCGUAAAUUUUAUACAAGUUGUCGGCGGAUCCAUGGAAGAAAGC
rnacentral:misc_RNA from 1 species